AAGAAGAGAAGAAAGAAACGAAAACGAGAUACAAUAGUGCAGACAGGGUGCAGGGCAAGGAUGGUUGUAAAGCUAAAGGACGGUCGGUGGGAAGUCAUUUUCUUCAUUGCUCAACACAAUCAUGCACUAAUUGACAAGCCAUCACUCACAAAGUACCUUCGAUCGCACCAAGGGAUCCCUCUAGAAGAGAAGCUAUUCCUAACAAAUCUUCAUAAUUGCAAUUUGACUACAAGUGUGUGUCACAUUUUUACUGCUUUAUAUGCUAACUUUUCAAGGAGUAGCAAACAAAAUCCUGCACUUACUGUUGUACAACAAUAUUUUUACUAG
rnacentral:rRNA from 1 species